CAAGUGAAACACCUUAGUCAUUCAUUAAGGAGAUGAAACAUCUUUGAACUCAAUCUCUUACACUUUUGGGCUGUUUAGUCCAAAACAGUUAUUGCAAAUUUAUUCAAUAUUUCUUAAAUGUAACUUCAGGACAAAAAUCCAAGACCAACAGCCAACCCAACAAAGACAUUAAUACAUCAAAUGAGUUUGAAAAUAUUCUUGUCUCUACUGAUGGCGGUUUGAGGACAAUCACAAUGAACAGGCCUGAUAAAUACAAUGCUUUGACCCCAAAGUUUUGUCAACGCCACAAACGAAGAAUAAUGUUUACGAAGCUGAAAGCCACAUGUUGUAUGUACUUUGCUCAUUAUCACUUAUUUAUUAGCGGAAAGCUAAGCUGUUAUGAAUAGCGCAACUUACAAGAUGCUUUAUAAUAACGAGAAAAAUAUAAAUUUUGGAACUGAAA